rnacentral:rRNA from 1 species
AUUGAACGCUGGCGGCAUGCCUUACACAUGCAAGUCGAACGGCAGCACGGUUGCUUGCUGCUGUUGCCGAGUGGCGGACGGGUGAGUGUUACAUCGGCAUCGGUCCCGUCGUUGUGGAUGGCGCGGCGAAAGGCGGAUUAAUACCGCUAACGCUUUACAGCUACAAGCGGGAGACCUUGGUGUUCCGCCCUUUCGGGUUGGACGGUGGCGGAUUAGCUAGUUGGCGGGGUAAAGGCCAACCAAGGCGACGAUCAGUAGCUGGUCUGAGAGGACGACCAGCCACACUGGAACUGAGACACGGCCCAGACUCCUACGGGAGGCAGCAGUGGGGAAUAUUGGACAAUGGGCGAAAGCCUGAUCCAGCCAUGCCGCGUGGGUGAAGAAGGCCUUCGGGUUGUAAAGCCCUUUUGUUGGGAAAGAAAAGCAGCGCGCUAAUACAGUCGGGUGAUGACGGUACCGGAAGAAUAAGCACCGGCUAACUUCGUG